GAAAUGCGAUACGUAAUGUGAAUUGCAGAAUUCAGUGAAUCAUCGAAUCUUUGAACGCAUAUUGCGCUCUCUGGUAUUCCGGAGAGCAUGCUUGUUUGAGUAUCAGUAAACACCUCAAAUCCCAAGAUUUUUUUUCUUUGGGGUUUGGAUUUGAGUAAUCCUAACGAGAAGGCUUCUGGCCAACUUGGCAGGUCACUUGAAAUUCAGGUGCAGCUGAACAUUCUUCUGAGCUAAAAGCAUAUUUAUUUAGUCCUGUCGAUUCUUUUUCUAGAAUUUACGGAUUAUUACUUUUGCUGCAGCUAACAUAAAGGUUGAAUGAUCAAAUGCUGACUGAUGCAGGAAUUUAUCAGUUUUCGUUUUCGUAAACUGUUAAACUCGAUCUCAAAUCAAGUAAGACUAC
rnacentral:misc_RNA from 1 species